rnacentral:rRNA from 1 species
CAGCCGCCGCGGUAAUACGGAGGGUGCAAGCGUUAAUCGGAAUUACUGGGCGUAAAGCGUGCGUAGGCGGUUCGUUAAGUCUGUUGUGAAAGCCCUGGGCUCAACCUAGGAAUUGCAUUUGAUACUGUUUGGCUUGAGUUCGGGAGAGGUGAGUGGAAUUCCCAGUGUAGAGGUGAAAUUCGUAGAUAUUGGGAAGAACACCAGUGGCGAAGGCGGCUCACUGGACCGACACUGACGCUGAGGCGCGAAAGCGUGGGGAGCAAACAGGAUUAGAUACCCCCGUAGUCCCUGUCUCUUAUAA